CCUACGGGUGGCUGCAGUAGGGAAUAUUGCACAAUGGGGGAAACCCUGAUGCAGCAACGCCGCGUGAGUGAAGAAGGCCCUUGGGUUGUAAAGCUCUUUAGCGAGGGAAGAAGGUAGAUACGGUGAAUAAUCGUGUUUGCUGACGGUACCUCGAGAAUAAGCACCGGCUAAUUUCGUGCCAGCAGCCGCGGUAAUACGAAAGGUGCAAGCGUUACUCGGAAUCACUGGGCGUAAAGCGCACGUAGGCGGACUCGUAGGUCAAUUGUGAAAUACCU
rnacentral:rRNA from 1 species